CGGGGUGCAGCAGGCGCGAAACCUUUGCAAUGCACGAAAGUGUGACAAGGGAACCCAGAGUGCCUAGCUUUGCUAGGCUUUUGCCAAGAGCAAACAUCUUGGAGAAUAAGUGGUGGGAAAGACUGGUGCCAGCCGCCGCGGUAACCCCAGCGCCACAAGUGGGAGUCACUCUUAUUUGGCCUAAAGCGUCCGUAGCUGGCUUUGUAAAUCUCUUGUGAAAUUGUUCUGCUCAACGGAACAGCGGGCAGGAGACACUGCAGAGCUAGGGACCGGGAGGGGUGAGGGGUAUGCAUAGGGGAGCGGUAAAAUGCUAUAAUCCUAUGUAGACCACCUGUGGCGAAGGCGCCUCACCAGAACGGGUCCGACAGUGAGGGACGAAAGCCAGGGGAGCAAACCGGAUUAGAUACCCGAGUAGUCCUGGCUGUAAACGCUGCGAGCUAGGUGUCGCAUAUUCCUCGAGAAUGUGCGGUGUCGAAGUGAAGACGUUAAGCUCGCCGCCUGGGAAGUACGGUCGCAAGACUGAAACUUAAAGGAAUUGGCGGG
rnacentral:rRNA from 1 species